CUUCGGGGGGCGAGUAGAGUGGCUGCACGGGUGAGUAACACGUAGGUAAUCUACCUUUGGAUGGGGAAUAACAAUCGGAAACGGUUGCUAAUACCGCAUAAUGCAGCGGCACCUAAUGGUGACAGUUGUUAAAGCGGGGGAUCGAAAGACCUCGCGUCUGAAGAGGAGCCUGCGGCGGAUUAGCUAGUUGGUAAGGUAAUGGCUUACCAAGGCUACGAUCCGUAACCGGCCUGAGAGGGCGGUCGGUCACACUGACACUGACAUACGGGUCAGACUCCUACGGGAGGCAGCAGUCGGGAAUUUUGGGCAAUGGGCGAAAGCCUGACCCAGCAACGCCGCGUGAAGGAUGAAAUCCCUCGGGAUGUAAACUUCGCAAGAACGGGAAGAAUAAGUGGAAGUUAAUACCUUCCAUGAUGACGGUACCGUUUGUAAGCUCCGGCUAACUCCGUGCCAGCAGCCGCGGUAAUACGGGGGGAGCAAGCGUUGUUCGGAUUUACUGGGCGUAAAGGGCGCGUAGGUGGCCAGCACAAGUCAGUUGUGAAAUCUCCGAGCUUAACUCGGAAAGGUCAACUGAUACUGUGCGGCUAGAGUGCGGAAGGGGCAACUGGAAUUCUUGGUGUAGCGGUGAAAUGCGUAGAUAUCAAGAGGAACACCUGCGGGGAAGCGGGUUGCUGGGCCGACACUGGACGCUGAUGCGCGAAAAGCUAG
rnacentral:rRNA from 1 species